rnacentral:rRNA from 1 species
GACGUAGGGCGCGAGCGUUGUCCGGAUUUAUUGGGCGUAAAGAGCUCGUAGGCGGCUUGUCGCGUCGUCUGUGAAAUCCCGCGGCUCAACCGCGGGUCUGCAGUCGAUACGGGCAGGCUAGAGUUCGGUAGGGGAGACUGGAAUUCCUGGUGUAGCGGUGAAAUGCGCAGAUAUCAGGAAGAACACCCGUGGCGAAGGCGGCUCUCUGGGACGGUACUGACGCUGAGACGCGAAAGCGUGGG